rnacentral:rRNA from 1 species
GACGAACGCUGGCGGAGUGCUUAACACAUGCAAGUCGAACGGUGAUGGGUGGAGCUUGCUCUGCUUUGAUCAGUGGCGAACGGGUGAGUAACACGUGAGUAACCUGCCCCAGACUCUGGAAUAACCCCGGGAAACCGGUGCUAAUACCGGAUAUGACACAGAAUCGCAUGGUUUCUGUGUGGAAAGUUUUUCGGUUUGGGAUGGACUCGCGGCCUAUCAGCUUGUUGGUGAGGUAAUGGCUCACCAAGGGGACGACGGGUAGCCGGCCUGAGAGGGCGACCGGCCACACUGGGACUGAGACACGGCCCAGAAUCCUACGGGAGGCAGCAGUGGGGAAUAUUGCACAAUGGGCGCAAGCCUGAUGCAGCGACGCCGCGUGAGGGAUGAAGGCCUUCGGGUUGUAAACCUCUUUCAGCUCUGAAGAAGCGAAAGUGACGGUAGGAGCAGAAGAAGCACCGGCUAACUACGUGCCAGCCGCCGCAGUAAUAC